rnacentral:rRNA from 1 species
CCAAUAGCGUAUAUUAAAGUUGUUGCAGUUAAAAAGCUCGUAGUUGAAUUUCGGGAUCAGUAGGUCGGUCGUGCCACAGGUAUGCACUGGUCUCACUGGUUCCUCCUUCCUGAUGAACCGUAAUGCCAUUAAUUUGGUGUUGCGGGGAAACUGGACUGUUACUUUGAAAAAAUUAGAGUGUUUAAAGCAGGCUAACGCUUGAAUACAUUAGCAUGGAAUAAUGAAAUAGGACGUUCGAUCCUAUUUUGUUGGUUUCUAGGAUUGACGUAAUGAUUAAUAGGGAUAGUUGGGGGAAUUAGUAUUCAAUUGUCAGAGGUGAAAUUCUUGGAUUUAUUCAAGACUAACUACUGCGAAAGCAUUUGCCAAGGAUGUUUUCAUUAAUCAAGAACGAAAGUUAGGGGAUCGAAGACGAUCAGAUACCGUCGUAGUCUUAACCAUAAACUAUGCCGACUAGGGAUCGGAUGAUGUUAAUUUUUUAAUGACUCAUUCGGCGCCUUACGG